GGCGUAAAGAGCGUGUAGGCGGAUAGUUAAGUUUGAAGUGAAAUCCAAUGGCUCAACCAUUGAGCUGCUUUGAAAACUGAUUAUCUAGAAUAUGGGAGAGGUAGAUGGAAUUUC
rnacentral:rRNA from 1 species